rnacentral:misc_RNA from 1 species
UGUAAUUUUUCAGGUGUGAAUUAUGAACAUGUGUAGGCGCCAAAGGUUCGAUUGGUAUGUUGCAACAUAAGCUGAAAAAAUCUGUGUUGUCAGUCAUCCGUAUUGUAAGCAAGGAUCAUGUAUUUUUAGGUUUUUUCACAACUCAUUUGUCAGGUAUGCAAAUUAUUGUAUCAUCUGAUAUAAUAGAUAUUAAGAUAAAGCAAGUGUGUGAUAAAGCAAGAUUUUAACCAAUAAUGAAUAUUUAAAUAAAAUAGCAGUUUUACUGCUAUUUUAUUUAAGUUUAAUUUUACAUUGCAAAAUUAUUAUCAAGACAUCAGGAAUGUUUCCACGAUGCAUUGCAAUUUGCCCCAAACUACUCACAAAGAUACAGGAAGCCAGAGUAUAUCCUCGCAAACUGAAGUUUUGUGCAUUGAGUUUUAAAAUGUCUUUGUGUCGAAACGCUAACAAAAUAAUGACGUCAGAUGAUGCAGUGCGUAACAGGUAUUCCGUUUAACUCAGCUGAGAUACCGUUAGGUCAAAAGGUGGCACAGUUGCGUGAAGCGUGAUUGAAAUAGGAUAAGACGUUCAAUCUGCGAAGAUUUAUUUUUAAAGCUACGUGAUUUCAUACAAAAACUAUUUUUAAAGGACUUAUACAACAACGACGUUGAUCAAAUAUUUCAUGAAAUUGAAGAAUUUAUAAGAUAUUUUCUAUGAAGUUUAAGAAAAGAAAGACGUUUCAAUGUAAGAAGAACAGUUUUAUCAUAUUAUUCAAAGAGCUAACACAUCAAUGUACACAAUUUCUGUUUCAAAUUGAUAUUGAUCUUAAUAUAA